rnacentral:tRNA from 1 species
AGAAAUUAGUUAAAAUUAUAACAUUGAUUUGUCAAUUCAAAAUUAUUUAUAAUAUUUCUUUAUUCCUCAA